UACGUAGGGGGCAAGCGUUGUCCGGAAUCAUUGGGCGUAAAGAGCGUGUAGGCGGCCCGGUAAGUCCGCUGUGAAAGUCCAGGGCUCAACCCUGGGAUGCCGGUGGAUACUGUCGGGCUCGAGUCCGGAAGAGGAGUGUGGAAUUCCUGGUGUAGCGGUGAAAUGCGCAGAUAUCAGGAGGAACACCAAUGGCGAAGGCGGCUCUCUGGAACGCAACUGACGCUGAGACGCGAAAGCGUGGGGAGCAAACAGG
rnacentral:rRNA from 1 species